GUGCUUGCUUUGGCAGCACAUAUACUAAAAUUGGAACGAUAUAGAGAAGAUUAGCAUGGCCCCUGUGCAAGGAUGACACACAAAUUCGUGAAGCGGUACAUAUUGUA
ensembl:snRNA U6 U6 spliceosomal RNA